AUUGAACGCUGGCGGCAGGCCUAACACAUGCAAGUCGAGCGGAUGAAGGGAGCUUGCUCCUGGAUUCAGCGGCGGACGGGUGAGUAAUGCCUAGGAAUCUGCCUGGUCGUGGGGGAUAACGUCCGGACACGGGCGCUAAUACCGCAUACGUCCUGAGGGAGAAAGUGGGGGAUCUUCGGACCUCACGCUAUCAGAUGAGCCUAGGUCGGAUUAGCUAGUUGGUGGGGUAAAGGCCUACCAAGGCGACGAUCCGUAACUGGUCUGAGAGGAUGAUCAGUCACACUGGAACUGAGACACGGUCCAGACUCCUACGGGAGGCAGCAGUGGGGAAUAUUGGGCAAUGGGCGAAAGCCUGAUGCAGCCACGCCGCGUGUGUGAAGAAGGUCUUCGGAUUGUAAAGCACUGUAAGUUGGGAGGAAGGGCAGUAAGAUAAUACCUUGCUGUUUUGACGGUACCAACAGAAUAAGCACCGGCUAACUUCGUG
rnacentral:rRNA from 1 species